rnacentral:rRNA from 1 species
UACGAAGGGGGCUAGCGUUGCUCGGAAUUACUGGGCGUAAAGGGCGCGUAGGCGGAUAUUUAAGUCGGGGGGUGAAAGCCCAGGGCUCAACCCUGGAACAGCCUUCGAUACUGGAUAUCUUGAGUACGGGAGAGGUGUGUGGAACUCCGAGUGUAGAGGUGAAAUUCGUAGAUAUUCGGAAGAACACCAGUGGCGAAGGCGACACACUGGCCCGUUACUGACGCUGAGGCGCGAAAGCGUGGGGAGCAAACA